rnacentral:lncRNA from 1 species
AAGACAGUGUUUUAACAGACAGACAGACAGACAAAUUCUUUAUUUCAUCUCAGAUACAUAUGUACAACAUGAGGAAAGACAAAUAUUCUGCAAAGAACAGUUAUGCUUCCAAUAGUGAAAAUAUUAUAGCCAACAAUGUACAUUAAAG